CAGGGGCGGCCGAUGGCAGAUUAGCUAGUUGGUGGGGUAAAGGCCUACCAAGGCGACGAUCUGUAGCUGGUCUGAGAGGACGACCAGCCACACUGGGACUGAGACACGGCCCAGACUCCUACGGGAGGCAGCAGUGGGGAAUUUUGGACAAUGGGGGCAACCCUGAUCCAGCAAUGCCGCGUGUGUGAAGAAGGCCUUCGGGUUGUAAAGCACUUUUGUCCGGAAAGAAAACGCCGUGGUUAAUACCCGUGGCGGAUGACGGUACCGGAAGAAUAAGCACCGGCUAACUACGUGCCAGCA
rnacentral:rRNA from 1 species